rnacentral:lncRNA from 1 species
AAAUCCGCCCCGCCUCCCGCCCCGAAUCCGUGACGGGUUAAAAAAUACAUCCCAUAAUCCGCCUCGCCUCGUAACCCGCCUCCCGCCGGCGCCCCGAAUCCGCCCCGCCAACUAAUAUUUUUUAUAAAAUUAUAAUAUUAUUAAUAUUUUGAAAAUAAAAAAUAAAUUAAUAAUAAAGUAUAAUACACCAUUAAUAAAGCAAUAUUUAAUUAACAAUAAAAGAAAAAUAAUAUCACAAUUCAAAAUAAAUAUCAAAUACAAAACAUUAGAAUGAAAGAAUACUUUUAUUUAAACUUUGUUGUAAUAUAUACUUUUAGAAAUAUUUAAAAAAUAUAAAAUAAUAUUCGUGGCUGAUUCGGGCGUCGGGUGGCUCAAAAAAAAUUUUCCGCUUCCGCCCGAAUCCGUCCGGAUCGUAAACUUACCCGUUUCUCCACCAAACCUUUAUUCUUCAUUACGCCGCUCCCAUACGACAACGGGCGGGAGCUCACCUAACCCGACCGUGCAUCCCUAAACUCAUUGUUGCAGGCUCAAGGGGUCUCUAUAAGCGACACGUUUAGAAAGGACGGAGUUUUUAGACGGUACCUGACUAAAGGAAGGGCUGCAUCUGGCGUCCGGUUCGCCUCGUCGCUGAAAUAGGUAGGAACAUUGGAACCGGACCGAUAAAGUAGAAUUUCCCCGAUGAGGACUAAACCGAAUAUGAUUGUGAAAAAAAAAACCGUAUACCAAAAAAAAAACAAAAAAAAAAAUCGGAAAAGUGUAAGCAGCUCGACCUGUCCUAGCUCACCAAUUGCGCCAUCACUCAUCGGCCUUUUCUCUUUCCUUUCGAAAAAAAAAACAGUGCACUACUUUUUUUAUUUUUUUUUACUUUGCACUCAAUAAAUAAACUUCGUAAUUAAAAUUUAAAUUUAACAGUAAUUUUUAACAAAAUCAAUUAAUAUAUUAUUUUUUCGUAUCUUUCACCUCUAUAUCUUCCGCUAUCGACAUCUUCUCGACCUUAAAUACGCAGUUCGCGUGCUUGAAUACUUCCCUCCGCUAGCCGUCUUCAAAAAGCAUAGGCGUACCCUCAUACGGUUCAUCCACGCUAUGGCCAUGCUCAUACUCCCAAAUAGGACUUCAAAAACAGUAAAAAAAUCUUACAUAUAUAUAAACCGUCUAAUAAACUUUCAUCUUCCCCCUCCCCUCCUCCCUUCUUCCCCUUCUUCUCUUCUCUUACUCGUCUCUUCUUUACAUUUUUUCGUUUUAGCUAACACACGUACCAAAUUAUUUAUCAAUUCUUUUUUUUUUUUUUUUUUUUUUUUUUUUUGUUUUUUUUUUUUUUUUUUUUUUUAUUUUUUGCAUUAAGUUUAUUUAAAUUAUAUAAAGUCAAAACUUACAUAACACUACAAUCAUAAAUAUAACAAAAUCCUACUUAAUCAACUCAAAAGCCUAGAAAUAAGAAAUUGUUAAUAAAAUCUCAUACCUAAACAACUAAACAAAUACAAAAUACAACAAAACAAAAACAACAAGUCAAAAUUACAAAAGUACACUGUAAAUUUAAUAUUACCACUCCUGAGAAAUAAAAAAACUAUAACAAUCUGAAAACAAUCAUCAAAAAUAAACAAAAUAUCAUACCUCACCAAGUAGUUUGCUGCAUAACAUCGUCGUACCAUUUAAUACCAAAAGAAAAAAAAAAACUUGGGGGAUCUAUUCAGAAAAUAAAUUAUUAUUAGGCCUCUGACAUUUUUACAACCUCCAAAAAGAGAUAGAGAGAGAGAGAGAGAGAAGGAUGCAGAAGAAAGAUAGAGAGAGAAAGAGAGAAGAGAGAGAGAGAGAGAGAAGCAUGCACAUGGUUACCUUGCAACUUGCCUGCAUUAACUUCCUUAAACGCAUGUAAGAAAAAUACAUACUUUCAACCCAAAGAUAAGAUGCUCCUCACUUAACCAAUUUAAAUCUCUGACCGCCAUAUUUUUUUCUUAAUUUGAUUCAUCUCCUACCUACUAAUUUUGAUUUUGGAAUUUCUUUAUAGUAACUUAAAUAAUAUAAAUUCAAAAAUUAUAAAAAGAAGCAAAAUCAAACGGUGUAAAUUCAAUAACAAAAAGUUAGGUUCAAUUAAAACAAUAGAUAAUAAAAGUUUAAAAAAUGUCUAUACAUUUUAACUAAAAAAUGCUCUUGCAACUCAACACAGUGCUUUUAAUCAAGCGACAAUGGCGAAAGUAGGCAGGAAAAACGACGAUGACAAUAGCUAAGCUGUACAAUCACUUCUAUAAUGGAUUCAAAAAAUGGCUAAAACUUAAUAAGUAAGCUGAGCGCGUUGAAUUUCGAAAGAUAACAACAACUUGAGGACUCUACAACAAACUCUUGGGAGGAAUAAUGGAACAAUAUUUGAAGAGUAAUUUCGGACCGUCACAAGAAGAAAGACUCAAUGAACGCGGACUCAAUGUCAAAUCAUCUAAGACAGUACCGAUUUUGGAGAGCACCAAUCAAUGAAUCGCACAAUUCCAUAUCAAUUCUUACCAACCAAUCAUCAACUCCAAUCACGACAACAAAAUUCUUCAAAGUCAGGCGUGAGACAAAAAUUAAGACCACCACUCGGCGUUGGGUCAAACAGGAUAAGCCUAGGCCUCGAUAGAACUGACAUUUACGUUAGCACGAUUCAGAAUCAAACUCUACAAGUCCCAUAACCUUUCGAAAAAGAUAAUGCCAUGUCAUAAAUGGGCAUGAAAGACAAAUUAAAAGGAAUUGUCUGUAGAGGACACUGCAUAAAUGACAUGUUGCAAACUGCCCGAAAUUCGAUGUAGGAAACGUGUAUGAGUUUUGCCCCAAUUCGUGGGUCGGUAACAGGUUCAGGACCUAGCUCGGACCGAGAAGUGUGGUCCUUCAAAACAUAAUAUUCCCCCAACGUACACUAAGGCCGCCAAAGUGAGACUUAGGCUUGCUCUCGGUUUGCAACAUCGGGGUGGCUAACCGUACUCGUAUGGCUGUUACCUGAUCAGCAAAUCUGACCCUGGGGCAGCCAGAACGCGCCACCAACUACGCAGGCCUGCUUAAGCAUGUUUCGUGGCAUUGUACCCGGUACAUAGCAAACCCGUGACCCGUACGCACAGUGCAGCCUCGGCGUUCGGGAGGAUUGCCAAGGUUACCAUACAUCUACAAAUAUGUACCCCCAAAGCCCCCAUUACUCCUUCUUUGAUGCCUCUUAACCAGUCAAAUCAAGGUGAUCAUCCCCUUCCCUUGGUUGAUCCCCGAUUUUUUGUAAUAUAUGGGUUUGAUACUCUCCCUUCUCUCUCUUGCUUUAUGUUCUCCAUGAUUGACGACUGACUUGGAAGACUGAUUGGAGAGACCUCCAACCUACGAUUGACUUGUUUAGAGCUAUUUAAUAGUUAGAACUAUAUUUUUCAUUUGAUACAUUUUGUUGAUUUGCUUAGAGAAACCCUAGAUUUGAAUUUUAGGUUAAAAUGGGGAUUUCGAGUUGAGUCUCUCUUGAUACUUGAUUGAUCUAUUGAACCAUCUUUUAGUUGAUUGAAGGAUUCUCCCUCUGGAGUCAAAGAAUAUUCACCAUUUCGUAAGUUUUAUUUCCCACCUAGCAAAACUAAUGUUGAGCUAUUGUUGUUGAGGUCUGUACACUUCCUUACCUAAGGGUAUAGGAGAGUGUGGAUNNNNNNNNNNNNNNNNNNNNNNNNNCCCGCCUCGUAACCCACCUCCCGCCGCCGCCCCGAAUCCGCCCCGCCAACUAAUAUUUUUUAUAAAAUUAUAAUAUUAUUAAUAUUUUGUAAAAUAUAAAAUAAUAAUUUUUAAUAAUAUUAUAUAUAUAAUUUAACAAUAUUAAUAAUAAAAAUUAAAAAUAUGAAUCACAAUUCAAAAUAAAAUUCAAAUAUUUCAAAUACAUUAGAAAUGAGAGUAAUAACUUAUUUGUAUUUUAAACUUUUUUUGUAAAUAUAUUAUUUUUUAGAAAUAUUUUUAAAAAAUAUAAAUAAUAUUCGGGGCGGAUUCGGGGCGGAUUCGGGGCGGGUCAAAAUUUUUUCCGCUUCCUGCCCCGAAUCCGUCUCGGAUCGUAAAACUUACCCCGUUUUCUGCCCCAAAUCCGUUUAUUUUCUUUCAUUUACUGCCCCCAUCGGGACGAAUCGGGGCGGGAGCUCUACCAACCCGGAUCCGUGUGCAUCCCUAGACUCAGUU